rnacentral:rRNA from 1 species
GACGUAGGGGGCGAGCGUUGUCCGGAAUUACUGGGCGUAAAGAGCACGUAGGCGGGGACAUAAGUCAGUUGUGAAAGACCGGGGCUCAACUCCGGGGUUGCGACUGAAACUGUGACUCUUGAGGGCAGGAGAGGACAGUAGAAUUCCUGGUGUAGCGGUGAAAUGCGUAGAAAUCAGGAGGAAUACCAGUGGCGAAGGCGACUGUCUGGACUGACCCUGACGCUGAGGUGCGAAAGCGUGGGUAG